UACGUAGGGUGCAAGCGUUGUCCGGAAUUAUUGGGCGUAAAGCGCUCGUUGGCGGUUCGUCGCGUCGGCUGUGAAAACCCGGAGCUCAACUCCGGGCCUGCAGUCGAUACGGGCGGACUUGAGUGUUGCAGGGGAGACUGGAAUUCCUGGUGUAGCGGUGAAAUGCGCAGAUAUCAGGAGGAACACCGGUGGCGAAGGCGGGUCUCUGGGCAACUACUGACGCUGAGGAGCGAAAGCGUGGGGAGCGAACAGG
rnacentral:rRNA from 1 species